rnacentral:rRNA from 1 species
UACGUAGGUGGCAAGCGUUGUCCGGAAUUAUUGGGCGUAAAGGGCGCGUAGGCGGCUUUGCAAGUGACGGGUGAAAUCCCUCGGCUUAACCGAGGAACUGCCUGUCAGACUGGAUUGCUUGAGUCCGGGAGAGGCGAGUGGAAUUCCCAGUGUAGCGGUGAAAUGCGUAGAUAUUGGGAGGAACACCAGUGGCGAAGGCGGCUCGCUGGACCGGAACUGACGCUGAGGCGCGAAAGCGUGGGGAGCAAACAGG